CCUGGAGCAGGUGCCUUCCAUCGCGGUCUUCCUCUAUGUUCAUAGGCAUCUGUAGGCACAUAAAAACACCAGGCUGACUGUCCCUGUCCAUCCCUUAGACCUCAUCCAAUCAUGGGGAUGCCCCUUAAUGUCUUUGUCGUUGUUUUUUUCUUCUUCUUCUCACUAAUAAUGCUAACUGACUUUGUGUCUGGAAGGAUGUUCUUUGGAAGGACAGUCUCUCUGAUCUACCCACUUCCUUGUUUUGUCAUGCCGCCCAGUGUAGAUGGUUUCUUUCUCGAUGAUUGAGUUCCUUGGGAUAACACGUAGAUGUGUUGAUGAAGUCUGUAAGGCAACUUUCCGGGAAACAUUGAUCAGAUCUGAUCAAUGAGCUUCAGAUUGAUGAUGUAGCGUUCAGUGUCUAAUGACCUGUCAGAUUGGAGGAAAAAUGGGGUCAAAGGUCUUCAGAUUGAUGUCGGUGGAGUUCCUGGUGCCACUGUGUGUUCUAUUCCUCAGCAGGGAUAAGCAACGUUUAUUUAUUUAAUGUGUUCUGUACAGUAUAACCAUCGGAACUCAAAGUUUUGGCAUGUCUUCCAAGAAGACGUGCAUAUCACCAAGAGUCGAUAGUGUGAUCAUUUUGGUGGGAACAUUUAAAAAAAAAAAAAAAAAAAAAAAAGCUCCACUACAUUAGAAUGUUAUUACAAUACCUGCAAUAAUGUAAUGUUGUAUAGAACAAAAAUGUAAUACAAAUAUUACAUAUGUCGCACAUUUAAUAGACAUUACACACCACAACACAACAUCAUCACAUGUCACUUCAUUCAUUAUUAAAUUGAGGAAUGUGCAUGACUCUUUAUCUUCAUCUCGAGCAAGGGCCAAGACACAGCAGGAAUUCAGAUGAUUUAGCAGAGUUUGACCCAAUCACUCUCUCACGUGCACUACAAUGGCAGAGUCCAGUGAUGGAUGGCCUUCAUGGCACUGAGGAGUGUUUAGUUAGUGGGUACUCACUGCCUCACAGCCACGGUCCAGGAGUGAGCUAAAUUUACACUGAUAGUGGCUGAAGCGGCACUGUUAAAACGUCAUGCCCCAGAGCAAUGACUGAUAACCAGGAGGUCAAAUCUGCCAAUAACACAAAGAGAAUAUCAAAAAAUGAUGUUAGAAUAUGUCACGCCCUG
ensembl:lncRNA